UACGGCGGGGAGUAGCGAUGUUCGGAAUUACUGGGCGUAAAGCGCACGUAGGUGGAUUUGUAAGUCAGGGGUGAAAUCCCGGGGCUCAACCUCGGAACUGCCUUUGAUACUGGAAAUCUCGAGUCCGGUAUAGGUGGGUGGAAUUCCUAGUGUAGCGGUGAAAUUCGUAGAUAUUAGGAAGAACACCAGUGGCGAAGGCGGCUCACUGGUCCGGUACUGACGCUGAGGUGCGAAAGCGCGGGGAGCAAACAGG
rnacentral:rRNA from 1 species